rnacentral:tRNA from 1 species
GUUUUUAUAGUUUAAAAAAAAACUUUGGUCUUGUAAGCCAAUAAUAAGAUUAUUCUUUAAAAACU